GCUAGGGAAGAAGAUGUUUACAAAAGCUUAUAGCUCAGCACCAAGGUAGAACUGACUAGGACAAGUGCCGCAUGGUGCCGCCAGAUUCUGGUGGUGGCAGCCGAUGCUGCGGGAAGGAAGGGCAGCGGUGAGGCUUCUGGAUCCUGGCUGACAACUAUAGCCUUACAUGCGCUGGGAGACGGUGGUUACAGCAGCUCCCUCCAUCAAGGGGCUUCCACAAGCUCCUUCCCCCGACCCUCAUGACAGGCCUGAGGGGGUAGGGAAGAGACUGACCACGUGUCACAGAUGAGGAAACUGAGGCCCAGAGAACUAAGGUGACCUGGCUGAGAUCACAUCCAUCCCCAGAAUCCAGAUAGAGACUGCUUCUAGAAGACACCUGAAAGUGCUGCCUUAUUGAAU
rnacentral:lncRNA from 1 species